ACGGCCGCAAGGUUAAAACUCAAAGGAAUUGACGGGGACCCGCACAAGCGGUGGAUGAUGUGGAUUAAUUCGAUGCAACGCGAAAAACCUUACCUACCCUUGACAUGUGAGGAACUUGUGAGAGAUCACUUGGUGCCCGAAAGGGAACCUCAACACAGGUGCUGCAUGGCUGUCGUCAGCUCGUGUCGUGAGAUGUUGGGUUAAGUCCCGCAACGAGCGCAACCCUUGUCAUUAGUUGCUACAUUUAGUUGAGCACUCUAAUGAGACUGCCGGUGACAAACCGGAGGAAGGUGGGGAUGACGUCAAGUCCUCAUGGCCCUUAUGGGUAGGGCUUCACACGUCAUACAAUGGCGCGUACAGAGGGUUGCCAACCCGCAAGGGGGAGCUAAUCCCAGAAAGCGCGUCGCAGUCCGGAUUGUUCUCUGCAACUCGAGAACAUGAAGUCGGAAUCGCUAGUAAUCGCGGAUCAGCAUGUCGCGGUGAAUACGUUCCCGGGUCUUGUACACACCGCCCGUCACACCAUGGGAGUAGGUUUCACCAGAAGUAGCUAGCCCAACCGUAAGGAGGGCGGUUACCACGGUGAGGUCUAUGACUGGGGUG
rnacentral:rRNA from 1 species